rnacentral:rRNA from 1 species
ACUCAAAGGAAUUGACGGGGGCCCGCACAAGCAGCGGAGCGUGUGGUUUAAUUCGAUGAUACGCGAAGAACCUCACCCAGGUUUGACAUGCAUGUGGUACUGAUGUGAAAGCUGAGGGACCCUUCGGGGAGCAUGCACAGGUGUUGCACGGCCGUCGUCAGCUCGUGCCGUGAGGUGUUGGGUUAAGUCCCGCAACGAGCGCAACCCCUGUCGCCAGUUGUAUUUUUCUGGCGAGACUGCCGAGUAAACCUCGGAGGAAGGAGGGGACGAUGUCAGGUCAGCGUGGCCCUUACGCCUGGGGCUACACACACGCUACAAUGGGUGGUACAACGGGUUGCUAAGCCGCGAGGUGGAGCUAAUCCCAUCAAAACCAUCCUCAGUUCGGAUUGUAGGCUGAAACCCGCCUGCAUGAAGCCGGAGUUGCUAGUAAACGCAGGUCAGCAUUACUGCGUUGAAUACGUUCCCGGGCCUUGCACACACCGCCCGU